GCGCGAAUGGCCGAGUGGUCUAAGGCGAUGGACUUAAGCCCCAUUAUCUCAGGAUGCGCAGGUUCGAACCCUGCUUCGCGCA
rnacentral:tRNA from 1 species